CAGUAGCCGCGGUAAUACGUAGGUGGCAAGCGUUGUCCGGAAUUAUUGGGCGUAAAGCGCACGUAGGCGGUUUAUCAAGUCAGAGGUGAAAGCCCGGGGCUCAACCCCGGAACUGCCUUUGAAACUAGUAGACCUGAAUCUUGGAGAGGUCAGUGGAAUUCCGAGUGUAGAGGUGAAAUUCGUAGAUAUUCGGAAGAACACCAGUGGCGAAGGCGACUGACUGGACAAGUAUUGACGCUGAGGUGCGAAAGCGUGGUGAGCAAACAGGAUUAGAUACCCCAGUAGUCCCUGUCUCUUAUAU
rnacentral:rRNA from 1 species